UGGGGAAUAUUGCGCAAUGGGGGGAACCCUGACGCAGCCAUGCCGCGUGAAUGAAGAAGGCCUUAGGGUUGUAAAGUUCUUUCGGUAUUGAGGAAGGUUGAUGUGUUAAUAGCACAUCAAAUUGACGUUAAAUACAGAAGAAGCACCGGCUAACUCCGUGCCAGCAGCCGCGGUAAUACGGAGGGUGCGAGCGUUAAUCGGAAUAACUGGGCGUAAAGGGCAAGCAGGCGGUUAUUUAAGUGAGGUGUGAAAGCCCCGGGCUUAACCUGGGAAUUGCAUUUCAGACUGGGUAACUAGAGUACUUUAGGGAGGGGUAGAAUUCCACGUGUAGCGGUGAAAUGCGUAGAGAUGUGGAGGAAUACCGAAGGCGAAGCNNGCCCCUUGGGAAUGUACUGACGCUCAUGUGCGAAAGCGUGGGGAGCAAACAGGAUUAGAUACCCUGGUAGUCCACGCUGUAAACGCUGUCGAUUUGGGGGUUGGGGUUUAACUCUGGCGCCCGUAGCUAACGUGAUAAAUCGACCGCCUGGGGAGUACGGCCGCAAGUUA
rnacentral:rRNA from 1 species